GACGAACGCUGGCGGCGUGCUUAACACAUGCAAGUCGAACGGAAAGGCCCUGCUUUUGUGGGGUGCUCGAGUGGCGAACGGGUGAGUAACACGUGAGUAACCUGCCCUUGACUUUGGGAUAACUUCAGGAAACUGGGGCUAAUACCGGAUAGGAGCUCCUGCUGCAUGGUGGGGGUUGGAAAGUUUCGGCGGUUGGGGAUGGACUCGCGGCUUAUCAGCUUGUUGGUGGGGUAGUGGCUUACCAAGGCUUUGACGGGUAGCCGGCCUGAGAGGGUGACCGGCCACAUUGGGACUGAGAUACGGCCCUGACUGCUACGGGAGGCAGCAGUGGGGAGUAUUGCACAAUGGGCGGAAGCCUGAUGCAGAAACGCCGCGUGCGGGAUGACGGCCUUCGGGUUGUAAACCGCUUUCGCCUGUGACGAAGCGUGAGUGACGGUAAUGGGUAAAGAAGCACCGGCUAACUACGUG
rnacentral:rRNA from 1 species